UUUGUGUAUAAAGUGUUUUGAAUAUGAAUGAACAAAGUGCAUUUAUUAUUAAUGAAGAAAGUCACGAAAAAAUAGUGAAAGAAAAUGAAGAAGAAAAGCGUAAAGAGCUAAAAAGAAAAAAACUAAUGCACGUCAAAGGGCAUAUUAUCAGCGUCAGAAAGAUUUGAAGAAAAAUGAAGAAAUAAUAAAAACAGUAACAAAAUCAAAUGCUGAACGUCAAAGGAAAUUUCGUCAACAUAAUGCAGAAAAAUCUUACAUGGAUAUAAAAAGACGAAAAUUGUGCAGUAAUGAAGUUUCAAUGAUAAAUAUUCUUGAAUAACCAACAGCUACUGUAAGAUAAUAAAACCCACAUGUAUUGUAAAAUAAUAAAAAUA